ensembl:processed_transcript 9430091E24Rik RIKEN cDNA 9430091E24 gene
CUCUUCAGCGGCUGGGCUGCCCUUCACUUCCGCCGGGCGUUGCUGAGCGCGCUGCCCGCGAGAUGCGGGCCCCUGAGUCACUGUUGUAGGUCAAGAUGAACACUAAACCAACAGUCUGUCAGGCUGGGCUUUUGACAUGGUUUAUUUCCUCCUGAAACUCAUCUGUUGCUGUUUCUUCUGCCAUGUCUUCCUGCUAAGGGGAGACCUGUGAAAGGGUCAGGGGUUGCUCUAGAGCUACCAUUUCUGCUAACAACUUGCAUCUACUCCUGAGAAGCCCAGCUCUACCACACUGGUGGAUCAGAUAUUCUAGCCUGUCCAAGACUGGAUGGGAUACACCAUUCUAAAUCUGUUGGUACUCAGGAAUCUUGGGAAACUGGUACCCCUGCCCAGAGCCCUCUCACCUCUAUGGGGAUAUACAGCAUGAAGCCUGGCUCUCCCGUGUGCGUCAUACUCAUCACCCGGAUCCCAUUUGCAUAGCCCACACUCAUCUCCUACAAAGAAAAGGAAAGCAGUCAGUACUCGUCCCUCCUGACAGUCAAGAGACUGAGUCCCGAGGGGAGCCUGUCAGUACCCACCCUAUGUUAACCCUGGAAGAGCUACAACCAAGGAAAGCAUCUCUCUUUACCAGCUCAUGCUAAAACAUUGAGUUAGCCAAGCAGCGUUAGGAACAAUGAAGACCAACCAAGUGUUUUCUCUGGAGGACUCUGUAAGACACAUAAAGGACAAUGCCUGCAGAAUACAAUUCAUGCACUCUGGGACCAAAAGCUCAGUUUCUAGUGUUACAGCUGCUCAGUCGCCUUGAAAGGGUCACUGAUAUAAUACUGCUCUAUGAAGGGAAGUGUAAGGCCAAGCAAGACAGCACUGAAACAAUUCCACAUGAAUUCUGACAAGGCAUUUGACAGUCAGGUUGGAUCAUUUGUAAAGUACAGAGAAGACUGUAGAGGGAUCUGUUCACCAACAUGGAAGUUUUCUGUUGUUUUCUCUGCUUGGGAGAGCAGGAAAUCAUUAAACAAUCUGCUCU